rnacentral:rRNA from 1 species
AAACGUAGGACGCAAGCGUUAUCCGGAUUUACUGGGCGUAAAGCGCGUGCAGGCGGUCUGUUAAGUCGGACGUGAAAGCUCCCUGGCUCAACCGGGAGAGGUCGUUCGAAACUGGCAGACUGGAGGGCCGCAGAGGAGUGUGGAAUUCCGGGUGUAGUGGUGAAAUGCGUAGAUAUCCGGAGGAACACCAGUGGCGAAGGCGACACUCUGGGCUGUACCUGACGCUAAGACGCGAAAGCGUGGGUAGCGAACGGGAUUAGAAACCCCGGUAGUCCACGCCGUAAACGAUGUGCACUAGGCGUAUGGUCUUCGGACUGUGUGCCGCAGCAAACGCGAUAAGUGCACCGCCUGGGGACUACGGCCGCAAGGCUAAA